AUCUAGCUGAUGAGUCUUAAAUGAGACGAAACGCGCGUCCGGAU
rnacentral:hammerhead_ribozyme from 1 species